AUUGAACGCUGGCGGCAUGCUUUACACAUGCAAGUCGAACGGUAACAGGCCUUCGGGUGCUGACGAGUGGCGAACGGGUGAGUAAUGCAUCGGAACGUACCCAGAGGUGGGGGAUAACGCAGCGAAAGCUGUGCUAAUACCGCAUGUGAUCUGAGGAUGAAAGCGGGGGACCGAGCAGCAAUGUUUGGCCUCGCGCCUUUGGAGCGGCCGAUGUCGGAUUAGCUAGUUGGUGGGGUAAAAGCCUACCAAGGCGACGAUCCGUAGCUGGUCUGAGAGGACGACCAGCCACACUGGGACUGAGACACGGCCCAGACUCCUACGGGAGGCAGCAGUGGGGAAUUUUGGACAAUGGGCGCAAGCCUGAUCCAGCAAUGCCGCGCGCGGGAAGAAGGCCUUCGGGUUGUAAACCGCUUUUGGCAGGAACGAAACGGUGUCCGCUAAUACCGGGCGCUAAUGACGGUACCUGCAGAAUAAGCACCGGCUAACUACGUG
rnacentral:rRNA from 1 species